rnacentral:rRNA from 1 species
UUACCCGCUGAACUUAAGCAUAUCAAUAAGCGGAGGAAAAGAAACUAACAAGGAUUCCCCUAGUAACGGCGAGUGAAGCGGGAAAAGCUCAAAUUUGUAAUCUGGCGCCUUUGGCGUCCGAGUUGUAAUCUCGAGAAGUAUUUUCCGCGCUGGACCGCACAUAAGUCUGUUGGAAUACAGCGUCAUAGUGGUGAGAACCCCGUAUAGGGUGCGGAUGCCCAGUGCUUUGUGAUAUACUUUCGAAGAGUCGAGUUGUUUGGGAAUGCAGCUCAAAUUGGGUGGUAAAUUCCAUCUAAAGCUAAAUAUUGGCGAGAGACCGAUAGCGAACAAGUACCGUGAGGGAAAGAUGAAAAGCACUUUGGAAAGAGAGUUAACAGUACGUGAAAUUGUUGGAAGGGAAACGCUUGAAGUCAGACUUGCAUUUUGGAGUUCAGCCGCAAGGUGUAUUCUUCAAUUCGCAGGCCAGCAUCAGUUUUGGGGGGUGGAAAAUCGUGGUUUGAAGGUAGCAGUCUCGGCUGUGUUAUAGCUUUCCACUGGAUUCACUUUUCGGG